UAUAAUCUAGUGUAUGGCGCACAUAAGCCUUUGAAGCUAAAAGACUGAGUUCAAAUCUCUAAAUUAUAA
rnacentral:tRNA from 1 species